ACGGAAGCCAGGGGCGGCCAAGACCGAGCCGGAAGAGAAGGCUCGAUCUCCCAAACCCGGCCUCCCAGCACGGAUCCCGGCACCCACGCGGAGCACAUACCGCGGAAUAGGUAAAAGUGUUGCGGGCCUGCGUGAUUGCGAAGAGCGAACGGCCACGACGACCCUUUGGGUGGGGUUGGGGUCGUAGCGCAUCGCAACGACGCCGAGGCCACCCACGCAACCCACACAGCACGCUUGGUAACCGGAGUCCGUGCUAGCGGGCGGCGAGCCGAAUCAGUUCGGAGCGUCGCCCGCUUCGCGUU
rnacentral:ncRNA from 1 species